GGAGAAAGGACAGUGCAUCAAAGCACGUGUAGCUAUGAUGUCAGUUUUAUACCUGGCACAAGAUGUGCUGCAAGCCUUGUGAUGGGAAGAAAAGGUGAAGGGAACAAACAUCUGACCUCAGUAACACAAGAAUAUCAGUGGACUUCUACCUGACAGUAGAUAUUUAGGAACAAAAGAGGUUUGAAUUUUCUAUUUUCACAAAUCUGUUUCUUACUUCUGUAACCCAGAAAUAAAUAUUGCUUUUUUUUUUCCUUCUGUUCUCUUUUUUCCAGAGCAAAUUCUAGAGCCACUGCUCUCCUUGUUUACUUUCAUGUAAACGAUUAAUUCAGCUGAAACUAAGGCAAUUCCAGUUCUCUGCAGCUGGCUCAGCUGAAAGGAGAACAAAACCUUCUGAACCUACAAAAACCACGCUACUAAUAAAAUUAAUACAACUGAGCUUUUCCUCAUUAGCUCAUUCUUUUUCACGUUACCAAGUAACAGUUAAAGUAAAAUCUUUCUUCUAAAACUAGAGGAUGCAAUCUCUCUUGGAAGAGAUAGCACACUCUGGUUUCAUCUCAGAUGGAUCAAUGUUAGAGAAAACCCAUUCUGUUCAUAAUUAAUUGGGUUUCUCUUGAUUCUUUACCCAAUUAUACCUAUUAGAAGGCUGUUGAAGAACCUAAUUUCCAUUUCCCCUCAGCCUUUUGCUUGGCACACUAAGCAGGUCAAGCUCUUCUAGGUUUUGCACAAGAAAGGCUUUCCCUUCUAGCAGUCCUCCUUUGCACAUGUAUCCAUUCUUGUCCUUAAGCCCUAAUGACCAAAGUUGUGCUUGUAUUCCAAACUAGGUCUCAAUUACCUUAUGCAUGGAAUGAACAGUCUUAAGUAAUCAAAAUUAAUUAAAAUUACCCAGUAACGAUUCCACUAGCUGGUAUACAUCCACCACAUCUCCACUGAAAUCAUCUUACAUAUUGCAUCCCUUUCAAUUUUUCUACAGCUGCAUUAAAAACAGAAGACGAUGAAGAAGUCACAUGCAUCUUCCUUUAAAUCAGCAUUACAACUGCCUCCAAGUCUUUCAUAUAAAUCUUAUAAGCCUGCCUCCAGGCUUUUAAUUUCUCUUAGAGAAUGAGCAAUACAGGUGACAAGAGUGGAAUUCCUCAAUAAACUAAGAUGCAUUAUUUUUGCAUCAGUCUCUCACUGGGGCAUGCUUUAUGAUCAGUGCAGCAGGGUUCUGUGGUUUCUGGAAGCCACUUUGCCAUCCAGCAGUGUUUUUUGUACUGGAUAGCAGGCACGUGCCUAAUUUUCUGCUUGAUGACCAGUAGGGUUUUUUGUUUGUUUGUUUGCCUUUCAUCUGAGGCAUUCUGCAAAAGGAAAAGGCACCUUAAGAGGAAGUACAGGAUUUUGGGACACUCAGACACCAUAGGGCACACAGCAAAAUACUGAAGGAGGCCUCAAAAUCCUGAUGCAGUGUAAGUUCAUGUUCACUCAUUACACUGCUCCUGAAAACAAGCGCUACAGCAGCUAUUAAGAAGACAAGAUCAACACGCACCAAGCUCUGCUCUCAUUGGGUUUGCACUCUGUUACAGCAACAGAACAAAGCAGUCUUGCUCACUCUCACCUCCACCAGUUCAAAUCUUGUACUCUCUUACCCUGGAAUGGGAUGAAGGCAGAAAUUCAGCAUAAGGUUUCCUAGGAUCAAAUAUCACAAUAUUCCAGAUAUACAAUGGAGAAGUACCACAGGAAAACUGUAAGUAACCCUACAGCUGGAGUCACAGACCUGUUAAGGGCAGCCCACUGCUCACAAAGCCACAAACACUGCUAAAUAGGUGAAAUUUAUUUUUGGUGGGUGCUGAAUUUCAGGAAAAUGUCAACCAUUCAGUUUUUCCCAUCACUGAUGAUGACACCGAGACCUUUUCAUUUUAAAGCAUGUGAAUGUAAGAAAAAACAUGGAUACUGCCAAAAAUUAGAGAAAACCCUACAUUGCUUCCCAGCUGGGACACUUUCUUGGAACAUAAGACAACCUGCUAAAUCCUGUAUCUGAGAUGCGCUUCCCUCCGCCUCUCCCAAUACACGGAUCAAACUCGCCUAGCUCAAUUAAUAUUUAAUUACCUACACAAAAGGGAUCAACUUCCACAUAACAGAUAGAGGGCACGUUGGAUGGUGCAAUGCAGCUCUGUUCAGCAAAAGUAGUUCAGGACCUGAAAACAGACUGCGUUCCUCUCAAGUUUGGAGCUCUUGCACACGGCACUUACAUGCCUGCUCCAAAAAGAAAUUAUGCCUACCUAGUCCAAACGUGGCAGAGCUGAGUUCAAGUGCGUGCUUUCUGAUUCAGACAAACAGCAUCCAUCUGGAAUUCUAGCAUCUAGCACUCUUGGCUAUUAUAGGAUGCCUUUUUGUCAACAAAAAAAAACUAUUGAUUUUUAGGUUUUAAGAAAGUUAUUCCUAAAAAUGGAUGUUCCAGCCUGGAAUGGUGUCUCUUCAUCAAGGCACCACUGGUCAAGUUUCAGCAGACCUAAGCCACUACCAGACUGGACACAUCAAGUACCUACUGCGUCCAAACUGUUUUGUUGUUAAUGGCUGUAAAAGACAACUUUGAUGAGACUCAAAAGCACUAAUUACAGUUUUUUGGUCAAUGGAGCUGCAUCAGCUGUUAGAAGAUUCUGAAUAUGAAGGCUCUGCAUAAGAGGUGCUUUCCUAGCAUCCUUUGGCAUCAGAGUACUGUAUUCUUGUGUUUCAAUCUUGAAAGACUCUCAGCCGCUUCACUUAGGAACAAUAGCAAAACAAGGAAUCAUGUAUGCACAGCAAAAAAAAAGAGACGGAAACAUCCACAUUGGUUUCUUAGAUCUUCAGAACCUCCCCAACAUGAGGUGGCUCCCAGGUCACCUAGCAGCCACACACAAACUCUGGCUAUUGCACCUGGUCAUCAGAUUUCUGCACCCUCUUAUGGACGUAUGCACCCCCACAAACAAACCCCUCUGAUUCCACCUCUAACGUUCACUGGUACAUGAAGCAGACGUAUCCCCACUAGUCUGUUGUGCUUAUAUUUAAAGCCAAGAUGCUAUAUAAAAUCCCCCACUGUGUGGAGAUCCAGGCAAUACUCCAAACACAAUGGGGUGGGGUGAGGAUGUUUUUGUUCAGUCUCUUGCUUAGACUGGUUUGUCUCACAUCCUUACAGUUACACGCACAGAAUCCUUCCUCCAUGAUAAAACAGGGCCUGAACGUCACCUACCACAAACCAACUUCUCCUCGCCAGGUCAAAACCCUCGCAGAAGUCCCUGAGGAAGUGCCUGUUUGCAGCUCCAGAUAUUUCCCAUUUGUCAGGUUGUAUCUUGCCUACAUACAGUGUGGGAUAAAAUGCCAAUUCUACCAAAGGGGGGAUUGAAGAAUUCAUCAGUGAACACACUUUGCAUGGACUGCAUUCUUCCUUGCAUCGGAGCGGUCCCACACCCUGCACACAGCCCCACACCUCUCUGUGUGGUAACACAAGCUUUACCCUCCUAUGACUGAAGGAAUGGGCAAAAAUAACCCAAAAGAGUUUGCUCAUAAUUAUGCAGAACAACUGCCAUCUUUCCUCUAACAGAGGACAGAAAAGCCACACGGACGCCACACAAACAGCUGCCUCCUCUCGGAGCCGUUAACGGAAAUUAUCCCAAGCGCGGGGCUGAAGGCACUGCGCGCCCCACAGCUCGCAAAGCAUCCCUCGCUGUGCGCCUGGAACGGCGCAGCAGGUGCCCCUCCGACUGGGUGUGGCCGGCCACUUCGCUUCCACCCGCUCCCUCCUCGCCAGCACCGCCGAACGACUACAGCCGGUACAAAAGCGCCGCACAUCCCCUUCUGAUCGCUCGCAACCCGAUCUAAGGAAGCACCUGCGGAAAAGCAACCUACUGCCUCACGGACCCGCGCAGCUCUGGAAGAAAAGAGGCAGAACCGCGCGAGGAGAGCCGGCAGUGAUUGAAACAAGCUGGAAGAGAUUGUCUUUUACAAGUGACACUUCCUCUAAAGACACGCUGUACACCACCUGCAGCAGCCCUGUGAGCUGAUUCACCUGAAGGAGGGAGCACUUCUAGUACAAUGUGGCAGUUAGCACUCCCACGCCUUUCUGGUAUUCAAUUGUGGAGUCAUAGCAUGCCAAGAAGUCUCUCUCGAAAAGGGCAGAAAAAGUGAAGUCUGUACUUCAAAGCCUGGGAUAGAACAAGGCCACGAGAGGCGCUUACAGAACAUGAACAGCUCUGUGGCAACACCAGGAGCUCUGCUACACUUAAUCUUGACUGAAGAGCAAAGAUGCAAGUGUCAGUCCAAGCACAACAAGAAAUCUGCCGCCACUGGUACAAAGGAAGCAGGUGAAAUAAAGAGGGAGAAAAACAGAAAGUAAAUAAAACCAAAGAAGAUAUUACCCCAUUACCCUUGUAAAUAAUUUUUGUACGACAGUGAAGUUGAUGAAAUGAGUUGACCAAAUAUGAGGUCAUAUUCCCAGUCAAAAACUGGGAAAUUCUGAAGAAAGCCUUUUUAUCUUUGAAUGGUGGGUUAUAAGAUGCUCACAUGCACAGCAGAUGUAUGAGAGCUCAACUGAAGGAGGGUACAACAGGUGGCAAAUAGACUUAAGUUACAAUACUAACAAGAAAUUUCCACCAGAAAAAAAAGAAAAAACCAAUAUACAUGUAGUGUGUUUCGUUGCAUUUUUAUCUUUGAUUAUUAUUAAUAAAAGAGAUUGUUGUCCUUCUGCAUUGAAGUUAAGACUCCUAACGAGAACAGAAAGGAUAUUAAAUGUCUUCAGCAUUUAUUUCCUGGAAACCAGCUGCAAUAGCAACGAAUUUAGGAACCCAACCUCAUUUGAUCAUUAGAGCUAAUAUGACAGCUAGGAAAAUAACCAAGGCAAAUUUUCAUUUUGGAAACACACCCAAAAUUUUCACAUGCAGAAUAAUCAGAAAAGAUACACAAAGCAUUAUAUGCAAAAUAAAGAAAUGAAUGUCUUAUCCGACAAAGACAAAAAUAUUUCCUGU